rnacentral:rRNA from 1 species
UAUCCUACGGGGGUCAGCAGUGAGGACUCUUUGUCCCUUUCCUUAAUUCUGAACCAGCCAUGCCGCGUGCAGGAAGACGGCUCUAUGAGUUGUAAACUGCUUUUGUACAAGGGUAAACCUGAAUACGUGUAUUCAGCUGAAAGUACUGUACGAAUAAGGAUCGGCUAACUCCGUGCCAGCAGCCGCGGUAAUACGGAGGAUUCAAGCGUUAUCCGGAUUUAUUGGGUUUAAAGGGUGCGUAGGCGGUCGGAUAAGUUAGAGGUGAAAUCCCGAGGCUCAACUUCGGAAUUGCCUCUGAUACUGUU